rnacentral:rRNA from 1 species
CCUACGGGUGGCAGCAGUGAGGAAUAUUGGUCAAUGGGCGCGAGCCUGAACCAGCCAAGUAGCGUGAAGGAUGACUGCCCUACGGGUUGUAAACUUCUUUUAUAAAGGAAUAAAGUGAGGCACGUGUGCCUUUUUGUAUGGACUUUAUGAAUAAGGAUCGGCUAACCCCGUGCCAGCAGCCGCGGUAAUACGGAGGGUCCGGGCGUUAUCCGGAUUUAUUUGGUUUAAAGGGGUGGGAGAGGGGUGGUUAAGUCAGUUGUGAAAGUUUGAGGCUCAACCGUAAAAUUGCAAUUGAUACUGGCAGUCUUGAGUACAGUUGAGGUAGGCGGAAUGCGUGGUGUAGCGGUGAAAUGCUUAGAUAUCACGAAGAACUCCGAUUGCGAAGGCAGCUUACUAAACUGCCACUGACACUGAUGCGCGAAAGUGUGGGUAUCAAACAGGAUUAGAUACCCUUGUAGUC